rnacentral:misc_RNA from 1 species
AAGUCGUAACAAGGUUUCCGUAGGUGAACCUGCGGAAGGAUCAUUAAUGAUUGACCGUCUGUCGAGCUUGCUCACAGGCACAUCAUAUCCAUAACACCUGUGCACUUGCCGGAUGGCUUAGUGAAGACCGCAAGGUUGAAUCUAUCCAUCUACUUUACAUAACAAUUCUGUAACAAAUGUAGUCUUAUUAUAACAUAAUAAAA